rnacentral:misc_RNA from 1 species
GGGGGGAGUAACUAUGACUCUCUUAAGGU